CCUACGGGAGGCAGCAGUAGGGAAUCUUCCACAAUGGGCGAAAGCCUGAUGGAGCAACGCCGCGUGGGUGAAGAAGGUCUUCGGAUCGUAAAACCCUGUUGUUCGAGAAGAAAGUGCGUGAGAGUAACUGUUCACGUUUCGACGGUAUCUAACCAGAAAGCCACGGCUAACUACGUGCCAGCAGCCGCGGUAAUACGUAGGUGGCAAGCGUUAUCCGGAUUUAUUGGGCGUAAAGGGAACGCAGGCGGUCUUUUAAGUCUGAUGUGAAAGCCUUCGGCUUAACCGGAGUAGUGCAUUGGAAACGGGGAGACGUGAGUGCAGAAGAGGAGAGUGGAACUACAUGUGUAGCGGUGAAAUGCGUAGAUAUAUGGAAGAACACCAGGGGCGAAAGCGGCUCUCUGGUCUGUAACUGACGCUGAGGUUCGAAAGCGUGGGUAGCAAACAGGAUUAGAGACCCCAGUAGUC
rnacentral:rRNA from 1 species